rnacentral:rRNA from 1 species
GAUGAACGCUGACAGAAUGCUUAACACAUGCAAGUCGAUGGGGAAGUGGUGCUUGCACCAUGGUAACCAUGGCGGACGGGUGAGUAACGCGUAAGGAACUUGCCUGCGGGACUGGGAUAACAGCAGGAAACUGCUGAUAAUACCGGAUGAGGUCAUUAAGCUGCAUAGCUUAGUGAUGAAAGGAGACGCCUGCGGAGAGCCUUGCGUCCUAUUAGCUAGUUGGAGGGGUAACGGCCCACCAAGGCGAAGAAAGGUAGCCGGCCUGAGAGGGUGGACGGCCACAAGGGGACUGAGAUACGGCCCUUACUCCUACGGGAGGCAGCAGUGGGGAAUAUUGGACAAUGGGGGCAACCCUGAUCCAGCAAUUCUGUGUGCACGAAGACGGUUUUCGGAUUGUAAAGUGCUUUCAGCAGGGAAGAAGGAAGUGACGGUACCUGCAGAAGAAGCGACGGCUAAAUACGUG